ensembl:snoRNA
GGCCCGGGAUGAGCGCUGGCAUGUAUUAUCUGAGCGGAGCUGAUGUCUCUCACCGCUUUAGCUCUAGAAUUACUCUGAGGCCGG